GACGAACGCUGGCGGCGUGCUUAACACAUGCAAGUCGAACGGAGUGGCGAACGGGUGAGUCACACGUGGGUGACCUGCCCUGCACUUAGGGAUAAGCCUGGGAAACUGGGUCUAAUACCGGAUAGUGUGGGAUGGGCCCGCGGCCUAUCCGCGUGUUGGUGGGGUAAUGGACUAGCAAGGCGGCGACGGGUAGCCAGCCUGAGAGGGUGGACGGCCACAUGGGGACGGAUACACGGCCCAGACUCCUACGGGAGGCAGCAGUGGGGAAUAUUGCACAAUGGGCGGAAGCCUGAGGCAGCGACGCCGCGUGGGGGAUGACGGCCUUCGGGUUGUAAAGUCCUUUCACCAGCGACGCGGUAGAGGGAGAAGAAGCACCGGCUAACUACGUGCCAGCAGCCGCGGUAAUAC
rnacentral:rRNA from 1 species